rnacentral:lncRNA from 1 species
CAUCAGGAUGGAAUUUGGAUUGGGUGCAGUCACUAUAGGCCAUGCAACUUCGACAGUUGCGUCAUCCAAGGUGUGCCAAACACUAUUAGUGCUCCAUCGCCAUCAGCUCAAAGAAUUAAACAGUAGAAUUCAUGUCUAUCCAACGCAAGACCAUGCUGUGUCUAAGCACGAAUCACUUACUAAGUGUAAGCAUGCAUCAGUUACUACAUGUAAGCAAAUAUGAUAUAUCCCGGUAAUUUUACGACGAUGAUAAAAUCAUCCUCGUUCGGCAGUCUAAAGAGCCAUGCACUUGUCCGUCAUUAGUGUUAACAAUGACGGUAUCAUCGGUGCUUGCAGCUCGCAUCUCUGCAGACACAACCACCUUUGGCUGCUCUCGCCAUGUUCAACAUGAAGCAUAUCGACAUA